rnacentral:misc_RNA from 1 species
CUGCAAUAUUUAGUCAAGUUGAAAACCGUAUAUGAAGAAAAUGACGAUCGACAUUCGUCAGCGUCAAUUACGGCGCGUCGUUAGUGUAUAUUUAUUUGAACAAAAAAUGACACUUAUCACCUCUUAUCGAAAAUAAUUUUGUUUCAUUCGUUCCUGUACCACUAUAUCCCGAUUAACAGCCCUCCUCGAUCAAUGCAUCAUUUGACUUUAUUACACUGGGAUUAUUGCGGUUGAAAUGGCUGUAUUUAUGCUAAAUAUUUGUAAAUUCAAUGGUUGUGGUCUUACGUUCAAAAGCUUAGGCGAUCUAAUACAACACAUCGAGGAAACUCAUAUUGAUUAUGACCCCCGAGUUGUUGAGCAAACAGAGCAACAGCAGCCAACUUGUAUACCUCUGAGUUAUGUAUUACGAUUCUUGACGGAUGCUGCACGAAAAGAGGGCGUCAAGCCCGUUCAUCAAUCCAGGUCAAAUCAAACCUGUCUUCCUUCCUCAACGCGCAACAAAAAUAAUACUCCUACGGGCAGUGAGGCAGAGGAGGGAGAGGACUUUGUUAGUGAGCCAGAAGACAGCAAUGACUCCUGGACCACUUCCUUGGAGUUCUCCGCUGACUUCAUCCUUCGUUAUGGCAGCAGGGCUGUGAGCCAAAAUACUGCGAAUCAAAACAACAAUACGGACAAGCCAUUUGCCUGCCCCGUACCUGGAUGUAAAAAACGCUACAAGAACAUCAAUGGCAUAAAGUACCAUUCUAAAAACGGGCACAAAAAUGAUAACAACCACAACUAAGAAAAUAACAACGAAUAAAAGAAAACAGAUUUUGGAUUGAUCGAGUUUUGCGAGCAGUUCAUCAGGGUACGGAAGGCGUUUAAAUGUCCAUGUGGAAAGAGCUACAAAACUUCAUAUGGCUUGAAAAACCAUGCAGCAAUACAACACAGCGGUUCUCUACUACAGGUGAAGAUACUGCAAAAUAACAAAAUGGUCAUUAAAUUGGA